AAAGGGAGACCUAAUUCCGGUAGGAGACGAAAAAAAAGUAGUCCCAACCAAGAAUCAAUCCCAAAAGGUCGGAGCGAGGCGAGAUUGGCUUUCAAACUAGGUUCUGGGUUCACACAAGACCUGAAUCAGGAACAAGGGCUAUUAGCUCAGGUGGUUAGAGCGCACCCCUGAUAAGGGUGAGGUCCCUGGUUCGAGUCCAGGAUGGCCCACCUGCACAGGUGGCAAAAACAAAGAAAAAAAGCUCCGAAUCAGCACCUUAUCUUACUUAUACAGUAAGAGAGAAUGCUGGCUCUGAGUUCAGAGUCCAGAGGAACCUUGAAAACUGCAUAGAGCUAGGUGAAAAAGCCAAAAAAGAAGACCGCAAG
rnacentral:tRNA from 1 species